GACGAACGCUGGCGGCGUGCUUAACACAUGCAAGUCGAGCGGAGCGGCGAACGGGAGAGUAAAGCGUGAGUAACUGCCCCCCUCUCUGGGAUAACAGUUGGAAAGGGCUACUAAUACCAGCUAGUGGGGGAUGACUCGGGUCCUAUCAGCUUGUUGGUGGGGUAGUGGCCUACCAAGGCGACGACGGGUAGCCGGCCUGGGAGGGCGACCGGCCACAUGGGGCUGAGGUACUGGCCAAACGCGUACUGGAGGCAGCAGUGGCGAAUCUUGCACAAUGGGGGAAACCCUGAUGAAGCAACGCGCGUGCGGAAUGACGGGUUUUGGGUUGUGAACCGGUUUCAGCGAUGACGCGGUAGUUGCAGAAGAAGCACCGGCUAACUACGUGCCAGCAGCCGCGGUAAUUC
rnacentral:rRNA from 1 species